rnacentral:ncRNA from 1 species
GCACAAGGGAGCUUGACUGUGAGACUGACAAGUCGAGCAGGGACGAAAGUCGGGACUAGUGAUCCGGCACCGGCAUGUGGAAGCGGUGUCGCUCAACGGAUAAAAGGUACCCCGGGGAUAACAGGCUGAUCUUCCCCAAGAGUCCAUAUCGACGGGAUGGUUUGGCACCUCGAUGUCGGCUCGUCGCAUCCUGGGGCUGGAGUAGGUCCCAAGGGUUGGGCUGUUCGCCCAUUAAAGCGGCACGCGAGCUGGGUUUAGAACGUCGUGAGACAGUUCGGUCUCUAUCCGCCGCGCGCGUUAGAAACUUGAGGAAGGCUGUCCCUAGUACGAGAGGACCGGGACGGACGAACCUCUGGUGUGCCAGUUGUUCCACCAGGAGCACCGCUGGUUAGCUACGUUCGGAAGGGAUAACCGCUGAAAGCAUCUAAGCGGGAAGCCUGUUCCAAGAUGAGGUUUCUCACCCCCUCGAGGGGGUAAGGCCCCCGGCAGACCACCGGGUUGAUAGGCCAGAACUGGAAGUCGGGUAACCGAUGCAGGUGACUGGUACUAAUAGGCCGAGGACUUACCAUA